UAGGGAAUAUUGGUAAUGUGCGAAAGCGCGAACCAGCAACGCCGCGUGCACGAUGAAGGCCUUCGGGUCGUAAAGUGCUUUUAGAGAGGAUGAGGAAGGACAGUACUUUCUGAAUAAGCCUCGGCUAACUACGUGCCAGCAGCCGCGGUAAAACGUAGGAGGCAAGCGUUAUCCGGAUUUACUGGGCGUAAAGCGCAUGCAGGUGGUCUCGCAAGUUGGAUGUGAAAGCUCCUGGCUUAACUGGGAGAGGUCGUUCAAAACUGCGGGACUAGAGAGUGGUAGAGGGAGGUGGAAUUCCGGGUGUAGUGGUGAAAUGCGUAGAUAUCCGGAGGAACACCAGUGGCGAAAGCGGCCUCCUGGACCACUUCUGACACUCAGAUGCGAAAGCUAAGGUAGCAAACGGGAUUAGAGACCCCGGUAGUCUUAGCUGUAAACUAUGUGAACUUGGCGUCGGUGGGUUUAAAUCCAUCGGUGCCGAAAGCAAACGCGAAAAAGUUCACCGCCUGGGGACUACGGCCGCAAGGUUAAAAACUCAAAUGAAUUGACGGGGGU
rnacentral:rRNA from 1 species